UACGGAGGGUGCAAGCGUUAAUCGGAAUUACUGGGCGUAAAGCGCGCGUAGGCGGUUUGAUAAGUCGAUUGUGAAAUCCCCGGGCUCAACCUGGGAAUUGCAGUCGAGACUGUCAGACUAGAGUGUGGGAGAGGGUGGUGGAAUUCCCGGUGUAGCGGUGAAAUGCGUAGAUAUCGGGAGGAACAUCAGUGGCGAAGGCGACCGCCUGGCCCAACACUGACGCUGAGGUGCGAAAGCCGUGGGUAGCAAACAGG
rnacentral:rRNA from 1 species